GAUGAACGCUGGCGGCGUGCCUAAUACAUGCAAGUCGAGCGAACGGACGAGAAGCUUGCUUUUCUGAUGUUAGCGGCGGACGGGUGAGUAACACGUGGAUAACCUACCUAUAAGACUGGGAUAACUUCGGGAAACCGGGGCUACUACCGGAUAAUAUUUUGAACCGCAUGGUUCAAAAGUGAAAGACGGUCUUGCUGUCACUUAUAGAUGGAUCCGCGCUGCAUUAGCUAGUUGGUCAGGUAACGGCUUACCAAGGCAACGAUGCAUAGCCGACCUGAGAGGGUGACCGGCCACACUGGAACUGAGACACGGCCCAGACUCCUACGGGAGGCAGCAGUAGGGAAUUUUGCGCAAUGGGCGAAAGCCUGACGCAGCAACGCCGCGUGAGUGAUGAAGGUCUUCGGAUCGUAAAACUCUGUUAUUAGGAAAGAACAUAUGUGUAAGUAACUGUGCAGAUCUUGACGGUACCUAAUCAGAAAGCAACGGCUAACUACGUG
rnacentral:rRNA from 1 species